UACGGAGGAUGCAAGCGUUAUCCGGAUUCAUUGGGUUUAAAGGGUGCGUAGGCGGACUGGUAAGUCAGUGGUGAAAUCCUGCAGCUUAACUGUGGAACUGCCAUUGAAACUGUCAGUCUUGAGUCAGGUUGAGGUAGGCGGAAUGUGUAAUGUAGCGGUGAAAUGCUUAGAUAUUACACAGAACACCGAUUGCGUAGGCAGCUUACUGGACCUGCACUGACGCUGAGGCACGAAAGCGUGGGGAGCGAACAGGAUUAGAUACCCGUGUA
rnacentral:rRNA from 1 species